rnacentral:tRNA from 1 species
AGGAUAAUAGUUAGACUAUAACGUCUAAGUUGCAUUUAGAAAAUAUUGAUUUAAUCAAUUUAUCUUA